rnacentral:rRNA from 1 species
GACGAACGCUGGCGGCGUGCUUAACACAUGCAAGUCGAACGGUAAGGCCCUUCGGGGUACACGAGUGGCGAACGGGUGAGUAACACGUGGGUGAUCUGCCCUGCACUUCGGGAUAAGCCUGGGAAACUGGGUCUAAUACCGGAUAGGACCACUGCAUGCAUGGGUGGUGGUGGCAAGCUUUUGCGGUGUGGGAGGGGCCGGCGGGCUAUCGGCGUGUUGGUGGGGUGAUGGCCGACCAAGGCGACGACGGGUAGCCGGCCUGGGAGGGUGACCGGCUACACUGGGCAUGAGGUACGGGCCAGACGGCUACGGGAGUCAGCAGUGGGUGAGGUUGGAGAGUGGGCGCAAGCCGGAUGCAGCGACGCCUGGUGAGGGAUGUCGGCGUUCGGGGUGUAAGCAUCGUUCAGCACCGACGAAGCGCAAGUGACGGUAGGUGCAGAAGAAGGACCGGCCAGCUACGUGCCAGCAGCCGCGGUAG